UACGAAGGGGGCUAGCGUUGUUCGGAAUUACUGGGCGUAAAGAGCUCGUAGGCGGUUCGUCGCGUCGGCUGUGAAAACCCGGAGCUCAACUCCGGGCCUGCAGUCGAUACGGGCGGACUUGAGUGUUGCAGGGGAGACUGGAAUUCCUGGUGUAGCGGUGAAAUGCGCAGAUAUCAGGAGGAACACCGGUGGCGAAGGCGGGUCUCUGGGCAACUACUGACGCUGAGGAGCGAAAGCGUGGGGAGCGAACAGG
rnacentral:rRNA from 1 species